AUGAGUCACUUUUUAAGAACUGAAACUCCCUCAGUGAUCAGCAAUGUUAUUACAAUUCAAAAACAACAGGAUAAGCUGCUAUCAACCUUCCCUCAGGCAAGAUGGCACCAGCAUUGUGCACCGCGCAUUCUGUCUGCUCUGUUCAGUUUACUAGUUUUCCUGUUUAUCCAGGUUUUUAGUCCUAGUGCCUCAGCUAUUUUAGUAUAUGAUCGUCAGUCCCUUUUACACAUUAAGGUAUCCUACAAAUUGUUACUUAAGCUGUCUUCCCUCUGCUAUUUUAAGUAUACCUGCCUACCUCCGCCACACGCCCUACACCACAACUCAGAGGAAGCGCACAAGGAGACAUGGAAUGGGAACCUGUGGGAUGUUCUCAGGCCUUCAGAGGUGAUCUCAGGGAGGGACCUGAGAGGCUCAGUGAGGAGCUAAACCCCCAAAAUCUUAGAGAGGAAGAGGCUGCUGGAUGAUGGUGUCAUGGCUGUUGCACGAAUCUCACCUGCUGCUUGUUUGUUGGGAAAACUUAAUUUCAUGUUGAAUUGCUUCUUUUUAUAACAACAUAAGCCCCUCUAUUAUAACUGUACACAUGAAAGCAUAUUUUUGAAGCGACAAUUUCACUGAUUAAUACAUUAAAUUCUUUUUUUACCUCCUCUGAUUUCCACCAAACUAAAAAUUAGCCUGUGUCUUCUAUUUUUACUUAAACAAAAAUAUAUUUUAUAUGUUCGUAGAAUCCAUACAAUAAGGAAAUUCAGUGGGUUAAUUACCCAGAAAAUUAAGAAAUGGCAACAUUUGAAUUUUAAGGCUGAAAUGUUUGAUGUUAUUAUGUUAUUUUCUCACAAAUAAUUAAAUUUCAAUUAACUACAGGAAAUUGUUGUUCAACCAUUCAACAAGAAUCUGUUACAGUUCUGUUGUUAAUAACUUUAUCAAUUUUUUAAAUGAAAUUAUUCUUAAGAUUAAGUAUGAUAAAAAUAAGAAUAAUAUAUAUCAACAAUUUAAACACAGGUAUGUAAACACUUAAUGCAUAAUUCAAACUAAAUACACGGAUGUGAAAAUUCACAGAAAUCCACCAGUGUUUCUUUUUUACAUCAAACCUGUUUAAUAUUUCUGUUUCUUUGAGUCUUUAAAAGAAACAUUAUGAAGAGACAGGUUGUGUAAAAAUAUAGUAAUGUUCUAAUAAUGUUUUCAUUUUAAUUAAAUUUAUGUUGGUGUAGGUGUCUUUCCUGCAGGGCACUUGCUGAUCUGCCAGGUGUGUUGUUUUUAGAUUGGACUGGAGGAUUUUCUUUUCACAUGCCUGAGGAUAUCUUAUCUCUUUAAACCAGUUUAACUGCAGUUUUGAAAGUUUCAAAAAAAAUCUUCAUUGUCUCUUAUUCAUUUUAGUUUCGCUUUUAGAUUGAUGGACAUUUAACAGAAAAUCAGCUUUACAGGACUACUGUUCUUUCAAGCCAAGCAUUUUAACAUUUUAUAUAUGUAAAGAUAUUAAAUCAAAAGCCUUAAUUGUGCAGGAAUUUUGGUAAUAAUAAUGAUAACUAUUAUCUCUGUUUCACCCUGACUGGAAAGUAAAAUGGUGCCUGAUUCAUGGAAAAUGUUUUUUUUUUUUUUUUCAGACUUGGUUUUAAUCGCAGAGCUGUUUAAUGUGUCACCCUUGUGUGUUUUACUUCCAAACAAACACGCUGCUGUCAUUUCACAACCGUGUCUGUCUCAGCAGAAGCAAAACCUGCCGAAUUCCCCUCCGACUCUUUUUUUUUAUCAGCGUCACGAUUCCCACAUUCAUGUCGGUAAACGAAGAAGAAAAGACGCAGAGCCACUUUCAUCUCAUUCACUCUGUGAAAGGUGCGCUGAUGAUGAUGACGAUGAUGAUGAUGAUGAUGAUGAUGAUGAUGAGUCACCGCUCGAUCCUCGCUGCAAAAAGUGACCAGCCUUAGUCUUUUAUUCAUGUCACUGUCGGAUGACGGGCAGCUGAUGGCCCGCGCUGGGUGUUUAUUUAUUUAUUUAUUGUUGUUAUUUAAAAAAACAAACUCUAAACAAAAGAAUUUGAUCCGACAGAUAUUUCUUGCAGUGUGCAGCGGCGGAAUUUCACGAAACUUUUCAGACUUGCAGUAUUUAUGUCGACAGGUCCCCUGCCGGUGUACCUUUUACUGUAGAGGGUCAUAUCUUUAAUGUCGUUAUGUGUAACCCACGGGGUGUGUUCCGAUUUUAUUGUGAUAUGGUAAUUGAAUGCUUCCGGGGACAAAAUGCGCCGCUGCUGUUGCUUCUGAUCUCACUCAGUGGAGCCGCUGGCGUCACUGUUCCGCUGCAGGGGAAAGAUCUCCUGACACGCGUGUUAAUACAGCACCUCUGACAAGUUGUUUCAUUCAAAUUUGUUAUGGGGGUGGGGCUGCUCCGUUCUGUCAAGAUUUUUAGAUCCCCCAUCAUGAUUGUAUUAUCAUCUGUACUUUAAUGCUCUGAUCGAUUUAAAAGCUCCUUCAAUGAAUAAAGGAGAGUUUUCCAACGUCCACUCACUGUGCUUUUUUCACAUGUUCAAGAUUGUAGGCUCUUUGUGGGGAUUCUGCAGUGCAAGCUGAUGAUGAUGUGGAAUCAACCUGAUAUUUUUAAAGACUCA
rnacentral:lncRNA from 1 species